GUUGGUAUAGCUCAUUUAAAUGCCCGGGCAUUAAAUAGAGAAUACUUUAGGUUCAGUGUAGGAGGUAUGACUGAUGUGGCUGAGAUAAAGGGACACAGGAGGACAGAUGUUGGUCCAAUGCCUGGUAAAGUGUUACAGAGUUUAAAGAAAGUACAGACCAAGAAUCCUAAAUCCACUCAUACUGAUUGAUGAGGUUGAUAUUAGGGACGUGGGUACCAGGGUGAUCCAGCCAGUGCUUUGUUAGAGUUGUUGGAUCCAGAGCAGAAUUCUUUCUUUUUGGAUCAUUAUCUUGAUGUUCCUGUGGAUCUCUCACGUAUCCUGUUCAUUAGUACAGCCAAUACAACUGACACUAGGACCACUCAUUGACAGAAUGGAAAUAAUACAAGUCUCUGGUUAUAUAUCAGAAGAGAAG